rnacentral:tRNA from 1 species
CAAGAUAUAGCUUAAACAAAGCACCUAGUUUACACCUAGAAGAUUUCAUAUACCACGGAUAUCUUGA